UUUCCAGAGAUUUGGCUGUUAUUUCUAGCACGUGGAGAUAUCUUCUAGGCUUAACUUCAUGCGCUGGUUGAAAAUCAUUAAAGUCAUUGAAGAAU